rnacentral:rRNA from 1 species
AUGUACUCUCUCACCGGACAGCCCUUCGGGAGGCGGUCGGACAGUCCCCCGGACGAUGUCGCGGACAGCCCUUCGGGAGGACCCUCGAAACUCGAACGGAGACUCGGACAGCCCUUCGGGAGGACAUUCGAACAGCCCCUCGGGCAAAAGACCGAAACUACAACCUCUCUACAGGGAAAGCCAAGGGGUAGGGAUGGCUCACAAAAACCCAAAAUGCCCAUGCAAAUGUCACACAUGAAGGGCAUAAUGGGGAGGGAAGUGGAGCUCCAUGGAGCCCCACACUUGUGGCCGGCCAACCCCCUUGGGGGGCCCCAUGAGGAGCAUCCUUGGCCCCCAAGCCCUUCUAGAAGCCUUCUGGAAAUAUCCCAAAAGCGCCGGUCACUCGACGGCCUGGUGGUCUUCCUCACACGCUUGUUCCCCAACCUAUCCGAGGGCCUGGCCGUGCGCUACCUGCGGCUCACCAACGCCGACGUCCUCAUCGCCGCUUGCAUCGUCUUGUCGGACCAUGGCGUCAAGAGUUUCUAUGACUCCGGGGCGGACGAUAUCAACAUGUCCCUCAAGUGCGCCAGUCUCGCCGCCAGGCACCCCAACGUCUCCCACCUCGUCUACUCCUGGUGCAACAUAUGCAGCCGCAUGGACGACGCGCUGCCCCUCCUCGCCCGGUUGCACGAACGACAAGCAUCCAGCCGUCCUAUCUGUUCGGAACUUGUUCGUAUGCUUGACUAUGGACGCCCGGCCCGUGAAAAAGAUGUGUGGUGUGUGUGGAAACUUGCAGAAGCUUCUCUUCGACGUCGUCCAUGCAACAAGCCGAAACAUCACACCCACUUGCUCAACCGGACGCUCCAGGACACCAUCCACGAGUACUACAUCCAGGCCCUUGCCCGGCUGCCAGCAGGCUCUCGCUUCCACCGCGGCUUGAUAAGGGCUGGCCACUGCUACGGCCCGCUCGACCCCGUCUCCAACAUCAUCAUCAACACCAUCUGGUACGACGCUGCGUUUCCACCCGCCAUGAAACUCGAGCUGGAUGUGAUCGGCACGCGGUGCCUCCACCGGGUGGAGAACCGCUCCUUGUACGGCAUGGCCUCCUUCCUCUGCACACGGUACCAUCGCUCUAGUUUCCAUCGAGUUGUGCGCUUCCUACUCCAGGCUGAUGCCAACCUUGUGCUCGCUGAUCCUAACCUUGAUCCUCCCGCUCACGCUGCCGCCGUCUUUGCAAUGGGGGGAGGCGUGCUGAGGCACGCACCAGCUGCUGACCUACUUUGCAGAGUUCAUGCUCAAGGCCCCCCAGACACCAGUCUUGUUGAAAUAUGA